GCCUAACACAUGCAAGUCGAACGAUGAUCCCCAGCUUGCUGGGAGGAUUAGUGGCGAACGGGUGAGUAACACGUGAGUNACCUGCCCUUAACUCUGGGAUAAGCCUGGGAAACUGGGUCUAAUACCGGAUAUGACCUUCCAUCGCAUGGUGGUUGGUGGAAAGCUUUUUGUGGUUUUGGAUGGACUCGCGGCCUAUCAGCUUGUUGGUGAGGUAAUGGCUUACCAAGGCGACGACGGGUAGCCGGCCUGAGAGGGUGACCGGCCACACUGGGACUGAGACACGGCCCAGACUCCUACGGGAGGCAGCAGUGGGGAAUAUUGCACAAUGGGCGAAAGCCUGAUGCAGCGACGCCGCGUGAGGGAUGACGGCCUUCGGGUUGUAAACCUCUUUCAGUAGGGAAGAAGCCGCCAAGGUGACGGUACCUGAAGAAGAAGCGCCGGCUAAAUACGUGCCAGCAGCCGCGGUAAUACGUAGGGCGCAAGCGUUAUCCGGAAUUAUUGGGCGUAAAGAGCUCGUAGGCGGUUUGUCGCGUCUGCCGUGAAAGUCCGGGGCUCAACUCCGGAUCUGCGGUGGGUACGGGCAGACUAGAGUGAUGUAGGGGAGACUGGAAUUCCUGGUGUAGCGGUGAAAUGCGCAGAUAUCAGGAGGAACACCGAUGGCGAAGGCAGGUCUCUGGGCAUUAACUGACGCUGAGGAGCGAAAGCAUGGGGGAGCGAACAGGAUUAGAUACCCUGGUAGUCCAUGCCGUAAACGUUGGGCACUAGGUGUGGGGGACAUUCCACGUUUUCCGCGCCGUAGCUAACGCAUUAAGUGCCCCGCCUGGGGAGUACGGCCGCAAGGCUAAAAACUCAAAGGAAUUGACGGGGGCCCGCACAACCGGCGGAGCAUGCGGAUUUAAUUCCAUGCAACGCGAAGAACCUUACCAAGGCUUGACAUGAACUAGUAAGGCGCAGAAAUGCGUCCCCACUUUGUGGCUGGUUUACAGGUGGUGCAUGGUUGUCGUCAGCUCGUGUCGUGAGAUGUUGGGUUAAGUCCCGCAACGAGCGCAACCCUCGUUCUAUGUUGCCAGCGCGUGAUGGCGGGGACUCAUAGGAGACUGCCGGGGUCAACUCGGAGGAAGGUGGGGACGACGUCAAAUCAUCAUGCCCCUUAUGUCUUGGGCUUCACGCAUGCUACAAUGGCCGGUACAAAGGGUUGCGAUACUGUGAGGUGGAGCUAAUCCCAAAAAGCCGGUCUCAGUUCGGAUUGGGGUCUGCAACUCGACCCCAUGAAGUCGGAGUCGCUAGUAAUCGCAGAUCAGCAACGCUGCGGUGAAUACGUUCCCGGGACUUGUACACACCGCCC
rnacentral:rRNA from 1 species